AAAAACAUCGCCUCUUGUCAUUUGUAAAUAAGAGGUCUUACCUGCCCUGUGACUUAUGUUUAACGGCCGCGGUACUCUGACCGUGCAAAGGUAGCGCAAUCACUUGUCUUUUAAAUAGAGACUAGUAUGAAUGGUUUGACGAGGGCUUGACUGUCUCCUUUUCUUAAUCAGUGAAAUUGAUCUUCCCGUGCAGAAGCGGGGGUGGUUUUAUAAGACGAGAAGACCCUGUGGAGUUUUAAUCAUGUAAUAGCUCUUAUAAGUAGGCUUUUAAAGAAGUAAACUAGUGAGGUCCUGUUUUUGUGAUUUUGGUUGGGGCGACUGUGGGGAAUAAAAAACCCCCGUGUGGUAUAGGAGUAUGACUCCUUAAGGUUAGGGUGGUGACCCUAAAUAUCAGAACAUCUGACUUUUUAGAUCCGGCAAAGCCGAUUAACAAAAUAAAUUACCCCAGGGAUAACAGCGCAAUCUCCUCCGAGAGUCCUUAUCGAAAAGGGGGUUUACGACCUCGAUGUUGGAUCAGGACAUCCUAAUGGUGUAGGUACUAUUAAGGGUUCGUUUGUUCAACGAUUAAAGUCCUACGUGAUCUGAGUUC
rnacentral:rRNA from 1 species